rnacentral:rRNA from 1 species
AACGAACGCUGGCGGCAUGCCUAACACAUGCAAGUCGAACGAAGGCUUCGGCCUUAGUGGCGCACGGGUGCGUAACGCGUGGGAAUCUGCCCCUCGGUUCGGAAUAACAGUUAGAAAUGACUGCUAAUACCGGAUGAUGACUUCGGUCCAAAGAUUUAUCGCCGAGGGAUGAGCCCGCGUAAGAUUAGGUAGUUGGUGGGGUAAAGGCCUACCAAGCCGACGAUCUUUAGCUGGUCUGAGAGGAUGAUCAGCCACACUGGGACUGAGACACGGCCCAGACUCCUACGGGAGGCAGCAGUGGGGAAUAGUGGACAAUGGGCGAAAGCCUGAUCCAGCAAUGCCGCGUGAGUGAUGAAGGCCUUAGGGUUGUAAAGCUCUUUUACCAGGGAUGAUAAUGACAGUACCUGGAGAAUAAGCUCCGGCUAACUCCGCGCCAGCCGCCGCAGUAA